UACGAAGGGGGCAAGCGUUGUUCGGAAUUACUGGGCGUAAAGGGCGCGUAGGCGGUGCACUAAGUCAGGCGUGAAAGCCCUGGGCUCAACCCGGGAAUUGCGCUUGAUACUGGUGUGCUCGAAUCCAGGAGAGGUUGGUGGAAUUCCCAGUGUAGAGGUGAAAUUCGUAGAGAUUGGGAAGAACACCGGUGGCGAAGGCGGCCAACUGGACUGGUAUUGACGCUGAUGCGCGAAAGCGUGGGGAG
rnacentral:rRNA from 1 species